GAUAACACUCUAAUUCUAUAUUUUAGGUUAUUGCUCAAAAGAAUGGGGAACUGACUAUGUUGAAGUAACUGAGCCUCCGAUUACUCAAAACUACUAUUUCAGUAAAGAAGGGGAAUCUUAUUAUGAAGCCCUCCAUACAUGUACAGAAAAAUCCAUGCAGCUGCUUUCUAUUGAUAGCGCAAAGAAAAA
rnacentral:lncRNA from 1 species